GAGGGUAUAGCUCAGUGGUAGAGUGCGUGCUUAGCAUGCAUGAGGUCCUGGGUUCACUCCCUAGAACCUCCA
rnacentral:tRNA from 1 species